GGGGCAGGAGCUCAGUAGUAGAGCUCCCGCUUUGUACGCAGGAAGAUCUGGGUUCGACUCCCGGUUGCUUUG
rfam:Toxocara canis scaffold724, whole genome shotgun sequence.